AUCCUUUGUCAACAUUGUACAUAUUUGCUGGGAUUUUGUGAUAAAGAAAUGUAAUUUUCUGUGAUGAUUUUAUGACGUUGAAGUAGUGGCGAUGGGUGAUGGCUAACUGGUUGGCUUGGUUUGACUUAAGAUGAACAUAUCUAAAAAUCAAUAUCUGACUUAGUAUCAUCAUUAUCAUCAUUAGCACCGCCGACAGAGAGGGCUGGUGGUCGUGGCGCUGAUGACCGCCGGUCCGGCGUCCCUAGUGGGAGGGUGAUGGGAGAGAUGUGCUCCGCACUAAACGCUUCACUUUCCCCCUUUGCCUUUUCAUGAGUUCUGUCUCAUGCGAGGUUUGGACGUUGGUUGUUGAACGACAGGAGGUUUUAGUCGGUUCGACUCCAACAUGCUCCACCCGCCAUCCCCAGUGGAGGGCGGAAGUCCGGCGAUUUACUCCUGACCAAAAAAAGAUGUGUGGUGUCGUGGGACACCGGAUAGGAACGAAGUUCCUUAUUAUAAAAAUGGUAAUUUUAAGUUCUAUUCGAGGUAUAAAGGAAAUAAAACUGGAGGUUUGGCAACAACCCACGGUCAUUCGGUAACGUGCGAACUUAUUGUGGUACACUUCAUUCACGGUUGUUUGCAUACGAGUUAGUGUAUUGCGCAAACGAACGCUCUGAGAUCGUGAUCAAUGAAUGAUAAAAAAAUAUGUUAUUUUUUGUACGUUAUUACAAAGUUAAGUCGUACACUGUGUGCAUUACUAAUAAAAAACUUACGUUA